UAGGUUCAUCAAAUGUAGCUCCAGAGAACAGAACUAAGAUCAAUGGACGGAAGUUACAGAAAGGGGGAUUUUGAUUUCACAUAAGGGAUUUCCUUAUUAUUGCACCUGUCCAGCAAUGAAAUGGGAUGUCCUCAAUCAAUCAGCAAGAAUUUAUUCAAUACUCACUAAAUAGUAGAAUUCAAAGACAAAAAUGAAUCAGUAACUGUUCUCAAAGAGCUUACAUUCUAUUUAGGAGGAUAUUGAAUGUAUGAAAGUUUUUAUAUAAGCAAAAAACCAAACUAAAUCUAUGGGGAGGAAGAUAUAUACAAAAGAAACACUAAUAGUUCAGAAGAAUUUCUACAACUAAAUAUUCAUAGCAUUUUAUUUUUAUACCAUGAGUAGAAAAAUUUAUAGCUCUGAUAUGGCUUUCUGCCAAAUAUUAUACCUAUUGGUUUGGACCAUAGAAUAUAUAAUGAGAGACCACCAUGGCCUGGUGACAGGGUAACUUUGUUACUGAAAUAAUACAUAGUAGGGAUCAAAGACAAACUUUUGAAGUCUGAAUUAACAAAUCUAACAUAUAAUCUGAUAGCAGGUCAAAAUCAUAAUUAAUUGCUUUUUUUUUUUUUUUUUUUUUUGCUUUUAGGGAUGACAUACUAGAUUUCCAAAUCUUGGCUCAGUGAUUUACUACUGAUAUGACUUCAAAAAGUUUGUCAUCUUCCUGAAGUGUAUCAAUGGAAGACAGGAGCUGAUGAAAUGUGGGACGUUUUUCUGGAAGCUAAAUAAAAAGGAAAGUCAUUGUUUGGGGUGAUUGAUCUUCCACCAUCUUAUCAGCAAAAAUAAGUAUCUGCCCAUUCUAUAGUGAUGUAGACUUCAAUCCAUCUCUGCCUACCCAUCGUGUGCUCCAUUGCCAUUUUCUCUCAUAAGUUUGACAUGAGGAAUCUAUCCUAUAUACCCUGGACUUUCUGGAUAUUCUCCUGAUGACCAAUAGACAGAAGAAAACUGUAUCCUUUUCAUGUGGGAAGAGACGAACAGGAUAUAUUCCACCCAGCAUGCUGCUGACAUUAAAUGCACUACCAAGAAUGUCUCUCCAUCUCUGCAUGUAGGCUAACUAUGCUGCUGUGGAUAACAACUCUCUUACCAAAGGCCCAUACGUCUGAUUUGCUGCUAUAUUUGG